UUUGCUGCUGGGCAUGCUCUCUCUUUCCUGGGGGCUGCUGAGUCACAGGGAUGGCAAACUAUGGGUGUCAGAUGACCCUUGUGAUGGGCGUCAAGAGAAAUCUUAAUCUUUGAGAUAUGGAGAAAGAUGGAGACCUGGUGACAUCAUUUGAACUCCUAGAUCUUGAUGUACCUGAAGCUGGCCCCACUGUAAAGUUUUCAGACCCCCAGAGGCUGGAACAGCCUGGGCCACCAGUGUCUCUAGCCAGGUGGAUCGAACUGGUUCCAGCUCAGAGGCAACUUCUGUCCAAGUCCGGGCCGAGAUUUCUACUUGGAGAAGAUCCCCAUGGUUGGGCUGGCUGAGGACCCAAUUCGGAAUCUCUGACUAAUCCCAGCUGUCCGACCUCUAGUCCCUGAGUGCAAGGGAGCAGCUGGCAUAAUCUUCCUCCCCAAGGUUCUCCUUGGCCGUGCCUAUGUGAGAGCCUCCACACCCAGUGCGGAGCCCAAUGUGGGGCUUGAACUCACAACCCUGAGAUCAAGACCUGAGCUGAGAUCGAGCAAGAGUCGGAUGCUUAACCCACUGAGCCAGUCGGAUGCCCCUUCUACUGUGUUUUAUUCCGUGACGCUCCGGAACAGAGCCCUUCUGGAGGAAAGGUUUGCUCGUCUCCCUCAUAGGCGGCUAGAAUGCCCUAAAAAGCCUGCCUUCCAACGGUGAGUCUGGGCUGGUCUGCUGCCCCAGCUCAUCCCCAGCCCAUCUUUCCAGGAAGCUGGGGGUGGGGGCGAUCCCAGAGGGGCACCCAGCUUCCAGGGAUGGCUGCAGGAUGCCAGAGGAGAAGCCACAGGACCGGGGUGGGGGGUGUUCUCUUGCAGGGGCAGGCAUAUCCAAGAUGCUCCUCUUUCCUACUUUCUUGUAAGUGGAUAAGACCUUGGGCAUGUGUGGGCUCUAGCACAGUUCCAGGCAUUGCCCCACACCCAGUCCUUUCAGUCUUUGCAACACCAUGAGCCUAGCUGGAAGGUAUCACUAUUCCCACUUCACAGAAGAGGAAAUUGAGGCUCUCAAAGGUGUCUGGAGUCACAGGAUCAGGGACUGGUGCUGUGAAGUGCAAACCCCAGCCUUCCCGCCCCCUUGCCUGGGUCUGUCUGCACUUCUGCGGGUGACCGUGGGCCUCCCCCUGCAGCGGGCCAGCCUGGGAGCUUCCUGAAUUCCACCACCAUUCCUGGCUCUGUGGUGAGGACUCCCUGCUUGUGAUCAUUCCUGUCUCCGGUCCUCUGGAGGACUCAGAAGCGAGAGGGGUGCAGGGGCUGGGGCUGGGU